GACACACCUGGUAAAUGACCAAUCAGAACACAACAGUUGACGACACACCUAGUAAAUGACAAAUCAGAACACAACACGUUUACAACACACCUAGUCACUGACCAAUCAGAAUACAACACGUUCGUGAAACUUGGGCCAUAGUCUAAGACUAACAACGUGCCAUUUGAACGUGAAAGUCUGUAAUUGCACGAAAAAUAGUUAGCCGAAAUCGAAAUUAUUCCACGGUGAAACAUCUCAUGGAGUGCUUUGAAAAAAUGUUCAGACAUGGACAUUCUUCUCUUAAACGACAAUUAGUCAUCAAAUGAGAUUGAGAAACAACGAACAAAUGUUGGUGUAUUUACCAUGAUCGUAGACUCCACAAUUAAAGAAAGUGGUUAUUGUUCACAGCGGUUGAAGAGAAUUGUGGCUGUUGUCGACCAGUUCCACGACGCUCAUCUAAACAUAAGAACAAAAUAAAAUUCUGUAAUUUGGUUGAAAAUCUUCUUCCUUGAACUACAUUACUAGUGAAUAAAAUAUUCAAUUAGAAACCUUCUGAUCAAGAAUGGACAAUAGACGUACUUUAAUGAAAUCCUCUGAACAAUGAUCAAGAAUGAACAGCAUACUUUAAUGAAGUCCUCUGAAGAAUUCUUAAGAAUGAACAAUUUACUUUAAUAAAGACCUGAACGAUGAUCAAGAAUGGACAAUAUACUUUAAUGAACUCUUCUGAACAGUGAUCAAGAAUGAACAAUAUACUUCGAUGAAAUUGAAAAAUACGUGACUUCUAAUGCCCUAAAGACCAUCUCUACAAAGAAUGCAAACGCUAAACACUCUUCUGGAGCAAUGCAUCCAUCAGCCUAACGCCUGUUUCCAUGGAAAAGUCAAUAUUAUGACCUUUUCUAAAACAUUUUCCUGGGAGUUUUCCUGCUAACAUCACGACUUGUCAAUCAAUCGCAAUGAUGGAUAAAACCACGCCGCUAUCAAAUGCCCAAAUGUCAACAUUAUUUAAUUGAAAAUUUUUGUA